rnacentral:sRNA from 1 species
AUGUACCACUCAUAAACUGCGGUUCUGAGCGCUCCGCCCGCCCCCACCUGACGACCGCUCGCUACGUUUUGUUAGCC